rnacentral:pre_miRNA from 1 species
AAUGUACUCCCUCCGUUCCAAAUUACUCGUCGCAGAAAUGGAUGUAUCUAGAACUAAAAUACAUCUAGAUACAUCCAUAUCUGCGACAAGUAAUUCGGAACGGAGGGAGUAUGAG